GGCGAGCUCCCCGGCCUGCGGGGCAGAAACACGGCGUGAUGGGCGGGGUUUGGCCCUCGGGGCGGAAGCGUGGCGAGAUGGGCGGGGUUUGGCCGGAAGGCCAGAAGCGCGUGGAAGGCGUGGCCGGAGGGCGGAGGCUGGGCGGUGCGGGCGAGAUGGAGCCGAAACUUGGGUUCCAUGAGCUCCUGCACGUUUUCUCCUUCCUGGAGGCCCGAGACCUGCUCUGCGCCGCCCAGGUGGACAAGGUCUGGAAUGAGGUUUCAGGGACCAAGGAACUGUGGAGGCAGCUGUGUCUGAGACGCUGGUCAUCAUGUAAAACCUCCCAGAUGACCUUGGGCACACAAACAUGGAAAGAGUACUAUCUCUGCCGAUCUGAGCUGGAGUUCCGAAUGGAAUGUGGGCGGCCAGAGAAGGACUUCAUCUGCAAAGCCAUUCCCGGGCACACAGGAGAGAUAGACGAGCUGGCUUACAUCUCAACCAAGGAGUGCCGGUUUGAUGGGCAAGAGAAGUCCAUGGUGUGCACCGUGUCCUCGGACAGCACCGUCCGUGCCUGGGAUGUGCAGGAGGGCACAGAGAUCUGGUCAAGCCCUCUGCAGCCUGCUGCUCUGGUGAACGUGGUGACCUUCCCUCGGCUCCAGCUGGCCAUCACCGUGGAUGAACGGGGCCUCAUCAAGGUUUGGGGAGCGGAGAAUGGAUGGGAGCAGGCCUCCUUCCGCCUGCCUACAUUCUCGUCUGCAUUGCAGGCCUGCGACCAUCCAGAGGGCCCUUUCCUGCUGGUGGCCUGUGCCGAGGGCUUCCUGUAUGCGCUCACGGUGCCCCAGCUGCAGCUGCGGUCCAGGACUCGCGUGUUCCCAAGCAGCCCCACCAGUCUCCUCUGCUCUCCUGACUGCCAGUGGGUGUUUGCUUCAACCCAGAACUCAGACCUGGGCCCGAAGGUGUUCCACACUCGCUCCCUGCUGUGUCUGGUGGAGGAUGAGCCUCCCGUCUCCACCACUCUACCCAUCUGGCUGACCUCCAGAGCCUGCUGGGCCCCUGACGAGACAGCCAGGCUGAUGGUGACGCACAGAAAUGACAACGGCAUGCAGCUGGUCAUCACCACCUACGAGCUCAGGACCAAGCAGUCACGGGAAGGGGUAGACGUCGUGGUACAACAGAUGGCAAGUUUCCUCCUGCCCAACUCCAUGAUACCUCCUCACCUCAUGAAGGGCCACGGCUCUCAGGUGAUCCUGCUGGUGUCCGGGUCGGAGCUGGCGCUCUUCACCAUCCACGGGGUGCAGCUGGCAGCCUUCCAGGACCACCAGAGGCCCAUCACGUCCAUGUGGGUGGACCAGAGCCGAGUCAUCACCGCUUCCUUUGACCUAUCCCUGCGAGUCUAUGUGUGGAAUAAAGAAACGAAGCCUCCCGUCCUCAAGAGCUGCUAUCACCUGCUUGGGGGCUCCCACAGAUGGGCCAGUGGAUUCACCCAUGUGGAAGGCGACAGUAUGAGCAUUGUAGGUGUGGAAGCCAGAAACAUUGGGACGAGUAUUCUGAGGUCAUAUUGCUUCAAAGUGCAGCGUGGCUCAGAUGACUGCAUCAAUUGAAGAUGAUCUCACUUUGGUGAAGAGCUUGUCUGCAUACAGACUAAAUGAUGACUUAACACCAUUGAAACAGAAAUGAGCAAUUCUCAGAUACCUGUUAUGGACCAGGCACUGUGCUAUGUGACUUUUUUUUAAUCCUCACAAACCAGUUAAAGAGUCCUACCAGGUGUUCAGCGGUCCUAGUGCAUCCUGCUUACAGCCAUGGGGGAAGGGAGAGGAGGCAAAAAAUUCGCUGAAAAACACACACACAUGACACAGCAAGAAAGGAAAUAGCUGUGCAGAAGAUAAAGGGAAGAUGCAGGUAAGCUGAGAUAGAGGAGUUUUUGCUGAAGACACGGGAAAGGGGUUGGAAUGUUGGCAAAAGAGGGGAGGUCCGAUAAGGGACUGGUGAGGGUACAAGCCACCCGAGAGGCAUGGACAUGUGAUAGCUGGGGAAGCAGUGUGGUCAGUUCUUAGGGAAGGCAGCCCACCAGGGCCUCAUAUGUGCUGGCAGCAGCAUUAAAUGGUGUCACGUCUGGGUGUGGCGGCCCUGCCCAAGGACAGCUCUGUGGUGCGGGAGGCUUAGGGAGAGAGUUGCCCUAACUCGAGCACAGGAGACUCUUGCAGAAACCAUGUGUUGAGUCUGGCAGAUGGGCUCCUUAGGGAAAAGCAACAUCUAUGAGGUGUGAUGCCACAGCCUGGGGGAAACACAGGAAGUGUGUCCUGCUCCCAGGUACUCUCAAUCCAAGUUCUGAGGCUUCUUUCCCUUUGAGGGCUGAUGCUGCCGGGGAGCAUGAGGGCCUUAGCAGCACCUCUGAUUCCUGCCAGCAGGUAGAUCUCAACCUUCCUCAGAGCCUCUGUUACUGCAGGUGCAGCCCAAGAUAUUAUGUAUAAGUACAGAAAAUACUGAAAAAAAUUCCCUAGUUCUUGGCCACAGGUGACGUCUUAACAAUUUCUAAAAUAUUAAUUACUAACUAUAAUAAUGCCUUUUUAAAAAGACAGUUACCACAAACACAAUCACUCUUUAAAUUCACUUUUAUUUUUUAAAGUUUAUUUUUAUUUAUCUUGAGAGAGAGAGGAAAGAGAGAAUCGCAAGCCGGCUCCAUGCUGUCAGUGCAGAGUCUGACACAAGGCUUGGACACACAAACUGUGAGAUCAUGACCUGAGCUGAAACCAAGAGUCAGGUGCUUGACUGAUUGAGCCACCCAGGCGCCCCUAAAAUUCACUUUUAAGUAAUUGAUGGGUUAAGUAGAAAGUACAAAAUAACAAAAUAAGAAUGGAAGAUAAUUUUCUUAACUGGAUAAAGGGGAUACAAAAGAGCAAAUAUGCUUAAUGAUGAGUAGUCAGAAAUGUUUCCACUGAUGCUAGAAACAAGGUAAGUGUGACAUUGGUCACCACCAUAAUUAAGUAUUGCCCUACAGGGGGAGGAGUCAACAUGGUGGAGAAGUAGGGGGACCCAAAGUUCCCUUGUCCCUCAAACAUAGCAGUAUUGAGGCCAGAAGACUUGGAAUUCCAGGCUACAGAGUGACAAAAACAUCUCCAGGGGCCCAUGAGGAUAGCUUGGCAGGCCAUAGGUGCAUGACUGUGAAUUGGGAGAGAGAAAAUGGACAGUGUAGGCAUGGAGGGGAGGAAUCCCCUUCGGUGGAGAGACAAAAGGAAGAGACUGUGUAGGAUUGUAUUUGGACAAAAGAAAAACGUCCAGACCAUAGACUAGGGAACAGAAAAAAAACGGAGAAGGAACAAAUUCCUAACACAAUCCAGGGUUGCAGGGCUUUCUCUGGACUGGGGGCUGCUGCCCUACACACGUGCCCUGGGGGAAGGGGGAGGCAGAGCCCAGCCCUGGGCUCAGUAGCCAGCCCAGAGGUGCAGUCAGAGGAGUCCUGUCCCUUGAGUGCUGUGGGAAGAAGGUAUAUAGCCUCCAAGGACAAAAGACCCUGCAGGUGCCCACCAGCCAGAAGCCCUUUGUCAUCUGGUUGGGUAGAGUGGCACGACCCCAGAACCGGGGCUUGUGGAGUGGGAUCCCUUAAGACAUCAGGGUUUGAGUCCCAGCCGAGUCCCUGGGAGGUGUGGGAGACUCUGGAGUGGGACAAACUGGCCUGCUUGUGCCCCUGCAGCACUGUGAGAACAACCUGAACAGAGUGGUCUGGGACACCCAGUCCGGGAAGGAGAGACUGGGGUUUUACCAUUUUUCUCCCCAUCCAACAAGGUGGGGCUUCAGGGAAGGGACAGCAGGCCCACAGUGGAGGUGGGACUCACCUCUACAAAUUGUGCCCCUCCAUGCCUGGUAACUGCGUAUCUACAAGAGCAGGAUUGAUGCUGACAAAUCAGACAGCCUCUCCUCCAGACCAGCACAGCCACCGACUCCAAGGCACUGUCAUAUAUUGGUCCAGUGGUUUUGCAUUUUCUGAUAUGAUUAUUGGUCAAUUCUUAUUAUAGAUUAUAUACAUAUAUAUAUUAUUAUAUGUAUACACAUAUAUCAUUAUAUGUAUGUGUGUGUGUGUGUACAUAUAUAUGUGUAUAUAUGUAUAUGUAUGUGUAUACACACACACACACACACACACACACAUUUCUUCCUCAUUUCUUUCUUCCUCAUUUCUUCCCUUCUCUUUUCUGGUUGUCCGUUUGUUUAAGCAGACACUUUUAAUCUAGUCUUUUUACACCUAUUCUGUAUCUCCUUUAUUUUCCUCUCUCUCUGGAUUAAACCAUGUAGUUUCUCUGA